GAUGAACGCUGGCGGCGUGCCUAAUACAUGCAAGUCGAGCGAACGGACGAGAAGCUUGCUUUUCGGAUGUUAGCGGCGGACGGGUGAGUAACACGUGGAUAACCUACCUAUAAGACUGGGAUAACUUCGGGAAACCGGAGCUAAUACCGGAUAAUAUUUUGAACCGCAUGGUUCAAAAGUGAAAGACGGUCUUGCUGUCACUUAUAGAUGGAUCCGCGCUGCAUUAGCUAGUUGGUAAGGUAACGGCUUACCAAGGCAACGAUGCAUAGCCGACCUGAGAGGGUGAUCGGCCACACUGGAACUGAGACACGGUCCAGACUCCUACGGGAGGCAGCAGUAGGGAAUCUUACGCAAUGGGCGAAAGCCUGACGGAGCAACGCCGCGUGAGUGAUGAAGGUCUUCGGAUCGUAAAACUCUGUUAUUAGGGAAGAACAUAUGUGUAAGUAACUGUGCACAUCUUGACGGUACCUAAUCAGAAAGCCACGGCUAACUACGUG
rnacentral:rRNA from 1 species